AUGCCGGUCCCGAUGACCUGGCUGACGAAGAGCGCCCGCGGCGAGGUGAGCGUCAGGUACCCGGUCUUGAAGUCCGACAUGAAGUCGGAGGCGGUGGAGACGAUGGACGAGACGACGCCGCAGAUGACGAGGCUCCCCACCACCCCGCCGUUGCCGUACCCGAUCCACGACGCGAACAGCAGGAUCACCAGCUUGCUGUACUGCGCCGCGAAGUUGGUCUCGGCCACCCCCGUGCCGUAG
rnacentral:rRNA from 1 species